UACGUAGGUGGCAAGCGUUGUCCGGAUUUACUGGGCGUAAAGGAUGCGUAGGCGGACAUUUAAGUCAGAUGUGAAAUACCCGAGCUUAACUUGGGUGCUGCAUUUGAAACUGGGUGUCUAGAGUGCAGGAGAGGUAAGUGGAAUUCCUGGUGUAGCGGUGAAAUGCGCAGAUAUCAGGAAGAACACCCGUGGCGAAGGCGGCUCUCUGGGACGGUACUGACGCUGAGACGCGAAAGCGUGGGGAGCGAACAGG
rnacentral:rRNA from 1 species